AACGAACGCUGGCGGCAUGCCUAACACAUGCAAGUCGAACGAGACCUUCGGGUCUAGUGGCGCACGGGUGCGUAACGCGUGGGAAUCUGCCCUCAGGUACGGAAUAACUCAGGGAAACUUGAGCUAAUACCGUAUAAUGACUUCGGUCCAAAGAUUUAUCGCCUGAGGAUGAGCCCGCGUCGGAUUAGCUUGUCGGUGAGGUAAAAGCUCACCAAGGCGACGAUCCGUAGCUGGUCUGAGAGGAUGAUCAGCCACACUGGGACUGAGACACGGCCCAGACUCCUACGGGAGGCAGCAGUGGGGAAUAUUGGACAAUGGGCGAAAGCCUGAUCCAGCAAUGCCGCGUGAGUGAUGAAGGCCUUAGGGUUGUAAAGCUCUUUUACCCGGAAUGAUAAUGACAGUACCGGGAGAAUAAGCCCCGGCUAACUCCGUGCCAGCCGCCGCAGUAAUAC
rnacentral:rRNA from 1 species